GGCUAACGCUGGCGGCGUGUCUUAGCCAUGCAAGUCGAGCGGACUUAUGGAGUAACUUAUAAGUCAGCGGCGGACGGCGGAGUAACACGUAGCUAACCUACCCUCUGGACGGGGAUAACCUACCGAAAGGUGGGCUAAUACCCGAUGUAGUCAUCCUGUAUAGGGGUGAUGAAAGGUGGGCUUCUGUUUACAAGCUCAUGCUGGAGGAGGGGGCUGCGGCCUAUCAGGUAGUUGGUAGGGUAAUAGCCUACCAAGCCGAUGACGGGUAGCCGGCCUGAGAGGGUGACCGGCCCGAGGGGCACUGAGAUACGGGUCCCACUCCUACGGGAGGCAGCAGGCUAGAAAUUUGGGCAAUGGGGGAAACCCUGACCCAGUGACGCCGCGUGCAGGAAGGAGCCCUUCGGGGUGUAAACUGCUGUCGUGUAGGGAGAAGGGUACUAAGGUGAACAAUCUUAGUACUUGACGGUACUACAGGAGGAAGCCCAGGCUAACCUCGUGCCAGCAGCCGCGGUAAGAUAGCGUA
rnacentral:rRNA from 1 species